GCCGGCCGGCCGGCCGUCUGUCCGUCCGGGAACCUCCGCGCUCCGGGCGAGGGUUGCCUGCGGAGCUGCGAGCCGGGGGCGGCUCCCUGAGGCCGGCAGCAUGGGGAGCCGGGCGGACCUCCGCAGACAUGGGGGGCUGCCGCGCGCCGCUCCGGCUCUCCCACUCAGUCCCCCCUCUGCCCCUUCCUUACAUUUUCUUCCUGAAAGGGGUCCUCGGUGAAGUUUGUCAUGGUUAUUUAAGGAACCUCACCUAGAAGUCCCAACACGCAUUUCCCCAUCGACGGGAAGGCUUGGACUCCAAGAUGAUUAUAAAGGAAUAUCGGAUUCCUCUGCCCAUGACCGUGGAGGAGUACCGCAUCGCCCAGCUGUACAUGAUACAGGCGACCUUCCUCUGCUCCUGCUUUGGCACUGUCUUACCUACCACUGGCCUCUGAACUCCUGGGGGCGCCAUCCACCAUGGGGGGUGAUGGACGAGCAUAUUAUCUCCAUUGUGUGACAGUUUGACGUGUGCAAACAUGCAUCCCAGCUCACCAGCUGCAUCUUUACAUAUAUGUGGUUGGCUGUGUGCCAAUCAUAUCUCAGUAAAGCUGUUAAAACACUAAGUCAAAUGCAGACUUUUCUGGGCCCAGCCUGGGCGGAGGGCUGGGUUACUGAGAAGAAUGGAAAGAGCUUCCUGCUCUCCAGGAGUGCCAUCGGGGAGGUGGAUGUGCGUGCAGCUUACCGAAUGUAGGCCAGGAGACAGGGCGCGGAUGUUCACGGGGGCCUCGGGCCAGCGGCCCCGGGAGAGCCUCCACUGUGAGCUGGGCCUCACACGGUGGAUAGGCCCUCAAGGAAGACAGCUGUGUUUCUGUGGAAAGAAGAGGAAAUUUAGUUUCUUUGCUCCUGCCCAGCUUACCGGCUGGGGUGGCCGCUAGCAACGGGUCUGCCUUCUGAACUCACCACCUCCUCCAUGGGCUCGUGAGUGAGGUGGGAUGAGCUCACGUGUCAAACUGCUUCAUGCUGUGCCUGACCAGCGCUCAGUAUACAUGCUGUUCAAGGCAACAACAACAAAAAGAAGAAGAAGAAGAAGAAGGAAAGAAGAAGAGUUGUUCUGGCUGGGAGAGAGCCUUCCAUCACCCGUGGAGGUGCUCAGCAGAUGCUUGCCUUGGAGGGAGUGACUGGAGGUGGCUUAGCCAGGACCCUGGACAGCUCCAAGAGCGGCUCCUUGGGAGGGGGCCUUUGAGUCCUUCAUCCCGUGCUUUUUCUGCCCAGGCCCAUGGUGGCUCAGGUCCCUACCAUGCAGCCCCCAGAUCCCACAGGAUGGGGGAGGGGGGAGUUCCCCACUCAGCCUGUGUGGGCAGGGGUCAUGAGUCAGGCCUCCCCCUGGGCACAUGUGUGCCCCUGGGGAGCUGGGCUUGUCUCUGCUGCCUUUCUGCAGUCUCCCUGGGAGGCUCCACAGCGCAGCUUGUGGGAAUGGUUGGCAAGGGUGGGGCCGGUGGCUUCUGGUGUGGGCAGAGAAGGUCAGCACGAUUCGAGAAGAGCUUACUCCUCUGUGGCAUGACUGAGAGCCUCAGCUGAGCAGGGGACUGGGCACCCCCGGAUGCCAUUGCCAGAGGGGAGCCAAGGGUCAGCCCUUUGGGAUGUUAGCUCCAAAGUUGGAGGAGGUGCCCAGGCUCAGAGGGAACCAGUGAUAGUUGAGACCAGGACCCAUUUGUUCAUCCAGCUGAUCUUUACUGUGCAGGCGGGGAAGAAAGUGCUUUGCAGGGAGUACAGAUGCACUCCCGGUCUGGGUCGCCGCGGCUCUGCCACUGCUCACUGUGGCCCGUGUGGCCCCAAAUGGCCUGUGUUAUCCAUCUCCCAUGAGUGACUUGUGUCCCCCCAAAUUCACAUUCACCCAGAACCUUAGACUGUGACCUUAUUUCGAAGCAGGGUCUUUGCAGAGGUAAUUAGUUAAGGACCUUGAGAUGAGAUCAUCUUGGAUUGAGAGUGGGCCCUAAAUCUAAUGACUGUUGUCCCUAUAGGAAGAGGAGAAGACAGAGAAAAGGUGAAGGUCAUGUGACGGUGGAGGCAGAGAGCAGAGUGAUGUGGCCACAAGCCUAAGAAUGCCUGGGGCC